CAGCCGCCGCGGUAAUACGAAGGGGGCUAGCGUUGUUCGGAAUUACUGGGCGUAAAGCGCACGUAGGCGGAUAUUUAAGUCAGGGGUGAAAUCCCGCAGCUCAACUGCGGAACUGCCUUUGAUACUGGGUAUCUUGAGUAUGGAAGAGGUAAGUGGAAUUCCGAGUGUAGAGGUGAAAUUCGUAGAUAUUCGGAGGAACACCAGUGGCGAAGGCGGCUUACUGGUCCAUUACUGACGCUGAGGUGCGAAAGCGUGGGUAGCAAACAGGAUUAGAUACCCCAGUAGUCCCUGUCUCUUAUAA
rnacentral:rRNA from 1 species